rnacentral:rRNA from 1 species
AACUCUGGUAUUGAUUGGUGCUUGCAUCAUGAUUUACAUUUGAGUGAGUGGCGAACUGGUGAGUAACACGUGGGAAACCUGCCCAGAAGCGGGGGAUAACACCUGGAAACAGAUGCUAAUACCGCAUAACAACUUGGACCGCAUGGUCCGAGUUUGAAAGAUGGCUUCGGCUAUCACUUUUGGAUGGUCCCGCGGCGUAUUAGCUAGAUGGUGGGGUAACGGCUCACCAUGGCAAUGAUACGUAGCCGACCUGAGAGGGUAAUCGGCCACAUUGGGACUGAGACACGGCCCAAACUCCUACGGGAGGCAGCAGUAGGGAAUCUUCCACAAUGGACGAAAGUCUGAUGGAGCAACGCCGCGUGAGUGAAGAAGGGUUUCGGCUCGUAAAACUCUGUUGUUAAAGAAGAACAUAUCUGAGAGUAACUGUUCAGGUAUUGACGGUAUUUAACCAGAAAGCCACGGCUAACUACGUGCCAGCAGCCGCGGUAAUACGUAGGUGGCAAGCGUUGUCCGGAUUUAUUGGGCGUAAAGCGAGCGCAGGCGGUUUUUUAAGUCUGAUGUGAAAGCCUUCGGCUCAACCGAAGAAGUGCAUCGGAAACUGGGAAACUUGAGUGCAGAAGAGGACAGUGGACCUCCAUGUGUAGCGGUGAAAUGCGUAGAUAUAUGGAAGAACACCAGUGGCGAAGGCGGCUGUCUGGUCUGUAACUGACGCUGAGGCUCGAAAGUAUGGGUAGCAAACAGGAUUAGAUACCCUGGUAGUCCAUACCGUAAACGAUGAAUGCUAAGUGUUGGAGGGUUUCCGCCCUUCAGUGCUGCAGCUAACGCAUUAAGCAUUCCGCCUGGGGAGUACGGCCGCAAGGCUGAAACUCAAAGGAAUUGACGGGGGCCCGCACAAGCGGUGGAGCAUGUGGUUUAAUUCGAAGCUACGCGAAGAACCUUACCAGGUCUUGACAUACUAUGCAAAUCUAAGAGAUUAGACGUUCCCUUCGGGGACAUGGAUACAGGUGGUGCAUGGUUGUCGUCAGCUCGUGUCGUGAGAUGUUGGGUUAAGUCCCGCAACGAGCGCAACCCUUAUUAUCAGUUGCCAGCAUUAAGUUGGGCACUCUGGUGAGACUGCCGGUGACAAACCGGAGGAAGGUGGGGAUGACGUCAAAUCAUCAUGCCCCUUAUGACCUGGGCUACAGACGUGCUACAAUGGAUGGUACAACGAGUUGCGAACUCGCGAGAGUAAGCUAAUCUCUUAAAGCCAUUCUCAGUUCGGAUUGUAGGCUGCAACUCGCCUACAUGAAGUCGGAAUCGCUAGUAAUCGCGGAUCAGCAUGCCGCGGUGAAUACGUUCCCGGGCCUUGUACACACCGCCCAUCACACCAUGAGAGUUUGUAACACCCAAAGUCGGU